UACAGAGGUCUCAAGCGUUGUUCGGAUUCAUUGGGCGUAAAGGGUGCGUAGGCGGCGAGGUAAGUCGGAUGUGAAAUCCCGGGGCUCAACCCCGAAACUGCAUUCGAUACUGCUUUGCUCGAGUACUGGAGAGGAGACUGGAAUUUACGGUGUAGCAGUGAAAUGCGUAGAUAUCGUAAGGAAGACCAGUGGCGAAGGCGAGUCUCUGGACAGUUACUGACGCUGAGGCACGAAGGCCAGGGGAGCAAACGGG
rnacentral:rRNA from 1 species